rnacentral:rRNA from 1 species
UACGUAGGGUGCGAGCGUUGUCCGGAAUUACUGGGCGUAAAGAGCUCGUAGGUGGUUUGUCGCGUUGUUCGUGAAAACUCACAGCUCAACUGUGGGCGUGCGGGCGAUACGGGCAGACUGGAGUACUGCAGGGGAGACUGGAAUUCCUGGUGUAGCGGUGGAAUGCGCAGAUAUCAGGAGGAACACCGGUGGCGAAGGCGGGUCUCUGGGCAGUAACUGACGCUGAAACGCGAAGGCGUGGGGAGCGAACGGG